rnacentral:rRNA from 1 species
AUGACUGCUGAAUGGAGCGUUGAAAACACUCAGAUUGUUUGCGAGUUGUUUGCUGAGCAAGUGAAUGUUGGAAAUAGUCCAGGCAAUUAUUUGACACCAAAGGCAUUUGAUGAGGUGACAAAGCAAUUUAAGAUGAGAACUAGGCUUGACUGCACAGAUACGCAAUUGAAAAACAAAUGGGACAAGCUUAAAGAUGAAUUCAACAUAUUCAAGAAACUCAAGUUCCGGGAGACCGGAGCCGGAUGGGACUAUGUGAACAACACCGUGUCACAAGAUGAUGAAUGGUGGAAAAAGGCUAAAAUUAUAUCACAACUGAUGGUACUGACCAUUGGAAUCCCUCUUCGGGCAUGCCUCGUCCCUCUAGUGCGGCAGUGA